UACGGGAGGCAGCAGUGGGGAAUUUUGGACAAUGGGCGCAAGCCUGAUCCAGCAAUGCCGCGUGUGUGAAGAAGGCCUUCGGGUUGUAAAGCACUUUUGUCCGGAAAGAAAACCUCGUGGUUAAUACCCGUGGGGGAUGACGGUACCGGAAGAAUAAGCACCGGCUAACUACGUGCCAGCAGCCGCGGUAAUACGUAGGGUGCAAGCGUUAAUCGGAAUUACUGGGCGUAAAGCGUGCGCAGGCGGUUCGCUAAGACAGAUGUGAAAUCCCCGGGCUUAACCUGGGAACUGCAUUUGUGACUGGCGGGCUAGAGUAUGGCAGAGGGGGGUAGAAUUCCACGUGUAGCAGUGAAAUGCGUAGAGAUGUGGAGGAAUACCGAUGGCGAAGGCAGCCCCCUGGGCCAAUACUGACGCUCAUGCACGAAAGCGUGGGGAGCAAACAGGAUUAGAUACCCUGGUAGUCCACGCCCUAAACGAUGUCAACUAGUUGUCGGGUCUUCAUUGACUUGGUAACGUAGCUAACGCGUGAAGUUGACCGCCUGGGGAGUACGGUCGCAAGAUUAAAACUCAAAGGAAUUGACGGGGACCCGCACAAGCGGUGGAUGAUGUGGAUUAAUUCGAUGCAACGCGAAAAACCUUACCUACCCUUGACAUGUAUGGAACCCU
rnacentral:rRNA from 1 species